rnacentral:rRNA from 1 species
CCUUAGUACGGCGAGUGAGCGGCAAAAGCUCAAUUUGAAAGCUAGCACCUUCGGUGUUCGCGUUGUAAUUUGAAGAUAGUUUCCUUGAGUAGUCCUUUAUCUAUGUUCCUUGGAACAGGACGUCAUAGAGGGUGAGAACCCCGUAUGAUUUUGGAUACUACUCUUUGUGGGAUUCUAUCGAAGAGUCGAGUUGUUUGGGAAUGCAGCUCUAAGUGGGUGGUAAAUUCCAUCUAAAGCUAAAUAUUGGCGAGAGACCGAUAGCGAACAAGUACAGUGAUGGAAAGAUGAAAAGAACUCUGAAGAGAGAGUGAAAAAGUACGUGAAAUUGCUGAAAGGGAAGGGCUUGAGGUCAGACUUGGUGUUUAAUGAUUAUCAGUUCUUCUUGGACUGUGCACUCGUUUUUCACCGGGCCAAUAUCAGUUUUAGCGGUAGAGUACCCCUUGAAAUGUGGCUUCCUUCGGGGAGUGUUAUAGUCUUGGGGAGAUCUACUUGCUGGGACUGAGGACUGCGCUUCGGCAAGGAUAUUGGCGUAAUGACCUUAAGCCGCCCGUCUUGAAACACGGACCA